CAACCUUCCGGGUGAUCUUGCUGUAAGAAUGAAAUGCAAUUGUAUACGUAAAAUGCUUCAAGAGCCCUUGAUCCUUAGACGCGGGCUGUAGUUUCAAUGGCUCCAUCAGCUGAGAGCGUGAGCUGUCAGAGGCUGCUUCAGAGGAAAGCCAAGAGGAUGCUCUCCUGUCUCAGAAUCAGUAAAUACAACCUAUAAUGGACUGUGUCAGAUUCCAAGUCCUCACCCCGUGUCAUGCUGCAGGGACCCACUGUCUGGGCAAAGCCACCUCUGACUGAGGGGCAGGGACAUAGAUGGGGAGUCUAGCAAACAUGUAUUCACCAGCAUAAGUAUCUAGAAUCCUGUGGCUUUGAGUGACUGUUACCUUGGUCUAAGUGACUUC